UAGGGAAUCUUCCACAAUGGACGCAAGUUUGAUGGAGCAACGCCGCGUGAGUGAAGAAGGUCUUCGGAUCGUAAAACUCUGUUGUAAGAGAAGAACGUGUGUGAGAGUGGAAAGUUCACACAGUGACGGUAACUUACCAGAAAGGGACGGCUAACUACGUGCCAG
rnacentral:rRNA from 1 species